GCCCCGCAGCCGCCUUGUGGGGAGCCUCUUAAGGCCGAGCUGCCCUGAAGGCGAGUGACAUCAUGGCAUCUUGGGACCUUGGAAUGUUAACGCAGAAAUGGCACUCGUGUUAGUUUUAUACUGGCAGGUGACAUAAGUAUAGCUAAGGCUAAAAGUUUGAACUUUUACUGUCAGGACUCAACAACCAUGCUGGCUGUAAAGAUGCUAGAGGAGUUUGCUUCCUUUUUAACUAUGAAUAUUACUGCAGCGUCUGGUAACACGUCAGAACGAUUGUCUUAGCUUGCUCUAAAUUCAACCUUCAAUGGAGGCUGUGUGAGAAUCGCAUAAAAAGCUCCACCUGAUAAACCUUUUGGAAUAAGGACUUCGCUUUUAAGCUUGUCUGGAAGGCACCUUAUCGCUGUGAGUGAAACAAUGCCCUCUGCCAGCGGCUAGAAGCUGCAGCAAAACUGAAUGAGUACGUCUGCGUUUGCCUACAAAUCAACGUCUUUAUACAGAACGGUGCUGAUAGAUCUUAAAAUUAUUUAUAACUGCACACGUUAUGCUUAUAAAGCAAAUUAUUAGGCCUUGUUGUUGUUAAUUUCCUAUCAAACAAUGAUAACGUAUGAGCUUUAAAGUGAGCAGUUUAAUCUUUUAUAAACACGCAGCUCCUGUUACACAGCACCCUGCUUCACAGCUCGGUUGGACCACGUUAGCUCUGUGUUCCCUUCUCCAGGGUGUGAUACCUGAACACUUGUCAACACGUUGUUUUAGCAUCACUCUGAGCGACUUCAUUUGCCGCUUUUGUAAGCAGGUCCCUCCUGCCCUGUACUUUUCUCAGGUGCUGUGGCAGAAACCUUGUGUUUAACUUGACCCUUUUCCUGAGCUCGCCUGCGCUUUGCUGCUUGCCUGCUUUGGAACUGCCACAAACAAAUGUGUCCUCCAAGGGGCCAUGCCGCCCGGUCAGGCUCGGGUGGGAGGAAGGCGACCACAGCACAGGCUGUGCUUCUGUGACCUGCCUGUUGGCGAGAAAAGGAAUCGGUUUCGCAAAGGAGAGCUGCUUUCAGCCGGCCCUCUGCGGUAAUUUAGCGCUUGUCGCGGGGUUGGGGCCCAGGCUGGUUGACGCUCGGGUCACCCAGGGCCGCUGGCUCGCACUGGGGCAGCCGGUACCGGCAGGGGGCGCUGUUGACUCCCGCUCGCUCUGAGCGCUCUCUGGCUCUCGGUUGCCUCGAGAGCCGGGACGGCACCGGGAGCGCGGCGAGCGCGGGCUCGGCCGGGGGAGACUGUCCCGGCCGUGUCUGCUUCACACCGACCGGGCGGUGACCGCGGGUAGCCCUACCUGUGUGAUUCGUGUGUGGCGUUCUCCAUGCCCGCUCGGGUUGCAGUGGCAAGGUGGAGUUUGGAACGUCUCGGGGAAGUGUUAUUGAACAGUUAAUAAAAGCUUUGUUAGGAGGAUAAAAAGCUAUUAUUCUGUCUAGACAAUUCACACUCAUUU